rnacentral:rRNA from 1 species
AUUGAACGCUGGCGGCAGGCCUAACACAUGCAAGUCGAGCGGCAGCACUUCGGGUGGCGAGCGGCGGACGGGUGAGUAACACGUAGGAAUCUACCUAGUAGUGGGGGAUAGCCCGGGGAAACUCGGAUUAAUACCGCAUACGCUCUACGGAGGAAAGGGGGCUUUGGCUCUCGCUAUUAGAUGAGCCUGCGUCGGAUUAGCUAGUUGGUGAGGUAAAGGCUCACCAAGGCGACGAUCCGUAACUGGUCCGAGAGGAUGAUCAGCCACAUUGGGACUGAGACACGGCCCAAACUCCUACGGGAGGCAGCAGUGGGGAAUAUUGGACAAUGGGCGCAAGCCUGAUCCAGCCAUGCCGCGUGAGUGAUGAAGGCCCUAGGGUUGUAAAGCUCUUUUACUCGGGAAGAUAAUGACGGUACCGAGAGAAUAAGCCCCGGCUAACUUCGUG